rnacentral:lncRNA from 1 species
CCGAAACUCCCAAUCAUCGGAAACCUCCACAACAUCGGACGCUACCCUCAUCGCUCACUCAAGUCCUUAGCUCAACGGUUCGGUCCUCUCAUGUCGCUACGCUUCGGCAAUUUCCCCAUACUCGUCGUCUCCUCCGCUGAUGCUGCCUCUGAGAUCAAGAAAACUCAUGACUUGACAUUCGUAAACAGACCGAAACGCAGCCUCUUUCAAAAGCUUCUUUAUGACUACAAAGACGUGGCGUCGGCACCUUACGGUGAGUAUUGGAGGCAAAUGAAAAGUAUAUGCGUAGUAAAUCU